GUGAGGAAUAUUGGUCAAUGGGCGGGAGCCUGAACCAGCCAAGUCGCGUGAAGGAAGAAGGAUCUAUGGUUCGUAAACUUCUUUUGCAGGGGAAUAAAGUGCAGGACGUGUCCUGUUUUGUAUGUACCCUGAGAAUAAGGAUCUGCUAACUCCGUGCCAGCAGCCGCGGUAAUACGUAGGAUCCGAGCGUUAUCCGGAUUUAUUGGGUUUAAAGGGUGCGUAGGUGGUUUGAUAAGUUAGCGGUGAAAGUUUGCAGCUUAACUGUAAAAAUGCCAUUGAAACUGUCGGACUUGAAUGUACAUUAGGUAGGCGAAAUGAGUGGUGUAGCGGUUAAAUGCAUAGAUAUCACGCAGAACCCCGAUUGCGAAAGCAGCUUACUAAGCUAAAACUGACACUGAAGCCCGAAAGAGUGGGGAUCAAACAGGAUUAGAUACCCCUGUAGUCC
rnacentral:rRNA from 1 species